GACGAACGCUGGCGGCGUGCUUAACACAUGCAAGUCGAGCGGUAAGGCCCUUUCGGGGGUACACGAGCGGCGAACGGGUGAGUAACACGUGGGUGACCUGCCCUCAGCUCUGGGAUAAGCCUGGGAAACCGGGUCUAAUACUGGAUAUGACUCCAUGACGCAUGUUGUGGGGUGGAAAGCCUUGUGCGGCUGAGGAUGGGCCCGCGGCCUAUCAGCUUGUUGGUGGGGUGAUGGCCUACCAAGGCGACGACGGGUAGCCGGCCUGAGAGGCGACCGGCCACACUGGGACUGAGACACGGCCCAGACUCCUACGGGAGGCAGCGAGUGGGGAAUCUUGCGCAAUGGGCGAAAGCCUGACGCAG
rnacentral:rRNA from 1 species